AUUGAACGCUGGCGGCAGGCCUAACACAUGCAAGUCGAGCGGGGUUUUCGGACCUAGCGGCGGACGGGUGAGUAAUGCGUAGGAAGCUGCCCGAUAGAGGGGGAUACCAGUUGGAAACGACUGUUAAUACCGCAUAAUGUCUACGGACCAAAGUGUGAGACCUUCGGGCCACAUGCUAUCGGAUGCGCCCACGUGGGAUUAGCUAGUUGGUGAGGUAAUGGCUCACCAAGGCGACGAUCUCUAGCUGGUUUGAGAGGAUGAUCAGCCACACUGGAACUGAGACACGGUCCAGACUCCUACGGGAGGCAGCAGUGGGGAAUAUUGGACAAUGGGCGCAAGCCUGAUCCAGCCAUGCCGCGUGUGUGAAGAAGGCCUUCGGGUUGUAAAGCACUUUCAGCGAGGAGGAAGGGUUAGUCGUUAAUAGCGGCUAAUUUUGACGUUACUCGCAGAAGAAGCACCGGCUAACCCUGUGCCAGCAGCCGCCGUAAAAC
rnacentral:rRNA from 1 species